rnacentral:lncRNA from 1 species
CGGCGGGGCCUACAUGUCCAGCGACGAGAUCCACCCGAGGGGAAGGGGCGUGCGCGACCUCGACGGUGACGGUGGGCAGCAUGGGGUUGUCCAUGGCAGCGAGGGACGGCCGGGGAGGAGCAGCCGGAGCUUUCGGAGGGGGGGCAAUGGUGGCGGAGGGUGCGGGAAGCGGGAAAGGGGGCGCGGAAAUGUCCCUCCCGCCAAAUCUCGCGCCGGAUGGGGGUUGAGCUCGGGUCGGCCUCCCAGCCCGUGAAGAUAGAGGUUGGGGAGAAGAUUUGCCGCGCCCCGCAAAAAUUUUUGCGGGCCGGGGCGUUUUGCGGGGUCUGCUCGUGCAGGUGUUUCGGCCCUGACCCACAAUUUGGCGGUUAUUUUGCGGGCCGGGGCGUUUUGCGGGGUCUGCUAGAGUUGCUCUUAGAUCAUAUAAGAAGAUAGUAUAGGAAGAAAUAUCUUGAUUGAUCCAUCUGUGAACAGUCAUGCACGCCUGCAGCGUCAGGUGAAGAUGUAUCUUCUCCUCUUCUUCUGAGACGCUUCAAUUACUUUCUGCGAAGAUGAACGAUAUGAUCAGGAUGAACAUAAAAUUAAACAUAGAUGAAUGAAAAAACCAUCGGCAUCAUGGCUCGAUAGCCGCCAUGCCCCAUGGUGGGCGCCAACUGUCGUGGGAAUGAUUCCGACAAUAAUAAGGGAUAGGGUAAAUGAUGUGGAGCAUCCUACGGUCAUCUCCUUGUACACCUUCAUAGCACCUCAAGCCCCAAGUGGACCUACCGGACUUAAGGUGAACCCGCUCCUCUUGGAGAUUUACAUGAAUAUAUCCAUUGGACGUGGUUGCUACCUCACCAUGGAAUGUUGUGCAUCAUUAGGUACAAGGGCAACCACCACCAAGCAGCUAGGAAGCUUCCCGGAGGCCAAGGAGAAGGACCCCAAGACCCAAGAGCUGACCGGAGGUGUCAAGAUGAAGAAAAUGAAGCAUGCAGAAAUUGCACUACUGGACAGUCCGGUCCUCACAGCGGACAAUCCGGUCGCACCGAAAUUGCACUACCGGACAGUCCGGUCCCAACAGCGGACAGUCCGGUCCCAACAACGGACAGUCUGGUGGCAGCCGAAAUUGCAUCUAUCCUCAACGGACUGUCCGGUCCGCCCAGUUUCGCUACGAAUCGGGCUAAAAAGCCCAUGUAACCUUCGAGGCCCAUACCCCUUCGCCCCUAGACUAUAUAUUCCGUGCUCCUCUCAGUUUUUAGGGUUAGCUAAGAUUAGAACUAGACAUUAGAGCUUAGCUCAUGUAUCUCCCCUUGUGGGUUUCCUCUUGAGGGAGAAGACUCCAUUGGAGUUCAAGGCCUCCAUUGGAGAAGAUCCCUAGAGAUUCAAGACCCCUUCUAGGGAACGAUCUAUCUAGAUCAUCAAGACCUCAUCUCCUUUGGAUUUGGGAUGAACUGUAUCUUGUGUCUUUCCCUUUGUUGUUCUUGUACCUUUGUGGAUCUUGUGUGAUUGUGAGUCUAGUGGAUGUGUGAUUGGACUUGUUCUAGAGUGUUUUCCUCUUGUGAUUUCCCCUCUUAUUCUUCGUGUUCUUCGCGUUCUUCGUGGAUUCCCCUCCAAUUCAUGAAAGAUCUCCACUUAGGGUCUCCACCCUACAACAUCUUGGUAUCAUGAGCCACGUUGAUCACGAAUUUGGAGUCUCCCCCAUCGUUUUCUAGCCUUGUUUUGCUUGAUUUCGUCCUAAAAUCCAAAAAUCCCCACCAAAAAUAGCCCCAAUUUUUUUGUGAUUUGUUGGUUUGAUGAUGUUUUGUUGAUUUUGAUCCAUGGAUUCAUUGUGUUUCAAGUGGAUCUACCUUCCCCACAAGUUUCCCCACCUUCCAUCCACAAAAUCUCAUCAAUUUUGACCCCAAAAUCAUCCAUUUCCGCCCAAAAAUUUCAACUGCGUGCCUUCCCAACCCGCACCGGACUGUCCGGACCCUCGUACCGGACUGUCCGCUCGCAUCAGGAGCAAAUCGCUCACAGACCGGACUGUUCGCUCGAGUCAGAAGGUUUUCGGAUGAAGACCGGACUGUCCGCUACCCUGGACCGGACUGUCCGCUAGUUCAAAAACUGCUUCGGCUGAUUCCUUGUUUUGGCCAUAUCUUCCACAUCCGGAGUCCGAUUAUGACGUUCUUUAGCUCGUUGAGUAGCUAUUGACACCCCCCAUCCAUCUAGAUGUGUUCCAACAUCAAUUGACUCCAUCAAAAUUUUGACAUUUUGACACCUUUGCCUAGGCCCUCCACCAUAUCAUCCGCAAAACCACCAUAGCUUUCCGCAACCUAACCCAUUUUGAUCCAUAUAGCAUUUGUGGUUGCUUGAGUGGUGACUUGAGUCUCCUAAGGUGUUUCGGCUACUUAGGGACGGUUGCUUCUUGGUCAACCACUACCACCACUUCCGCAUUGUCAACUCCGGAACCACCAUCGCAUUCCGCUACCACCAUUUGACAUUUGACAUUUGAGAUUUUGAGUUUGCGGGUUUUCCGUUUCCUAAGGUGUUUCGGCUAAUUAGGAACGGUUCUACAUCGAGAACACCGCCACUCAUCAUCGCCAUGAGGUCGUCAUCGACAUUGACCACUUCACCUUUUUGACAACCUAACUGUAAGCAAGAACGGUAACCUCUAUAUCAUCUUGGUAUCGUGGUAUCCCGUCAUUGUACAUUCAUUCUUGCCAUUGCUUUGUUAACCCCUAGACAUUUUGCGUCACUUGCCUAUCGAGACUAGACAUUUGAGUAUUGCCGGCAAAUUUACUUGUGCACAUUAGUGAUCCGCACCUUCCAUUGCAUACAUACCAUAUCAUCUUGGUAUCCUCAUCUUGGUAUCAUCAUAUCAUCUCUUGUGUCACAAGAUUGUUCCCGCAUAUACACAAUUGCUAUCUUGGUUUGUGCAUUUUGCAUAGUGGCCAUACAAAAAAAUGAGAAUAAGCUUUUAAGCAAAGAGAAAACAAAGAGCUUGUAAGCAAUAGCCAUAGCAUCGCCACAUUGCAUAUCAUACUACCAUAUUGAUCAUCUUGGAUCAUCGUGUGCUAAACACUGGGAACCAUACAUAAUAGCAUACUUGGGAUAGAAAGUUUAUCCAUUUUGCAUCUUAUAGGUUGUGCACAAGUGUCGUAUCCGCCUAAUGAGCAAUCGUGCUAGCGUCUCUCUUGAGUUGUGCAACACGAGCGUUUUCCGUGGAUUCCAUAUUUUGUGCUCAUUCCUUGGUUGCACGACCCCAUUUAUCUAUCCGUGUGUGUGUGUUUCUAUGUGCCAUUCUUUGCUAUUGGUCUACUUGUUUCACUUGCGAAUUUGUGAAUCUCUUUCACAUUAUUGGCUCUUGCUAACAUUUUGCAUUAAACUUUUGUGCCACUAUCCUCACCGGGCUACUCCAUAAGCUUUACUUGAUAGGUGUGAGUGAACAAGUCCGGUACCAAUUCCACUAUUCUUUCAUUUCACAUUGAGUGAAACAAGAUACAUCUCAACUUUGGGAAAAGGUAACUUGGUAUUAUUUAUCUCAUUUCCUACUCACCUCUACUCGAGUCUUGUGAUGGAUAGUCAAGGCAUUUCACCUUUGGUCUACAACAACGACGAGUUCGAUGCCACGAACAACAACUUGAACGCCAAGAUGCAAGCUCAAAUGGAGGAGAUCAAAGCCCUCAUCAAGUCCUACAAGAGAUCUUCCUCAUCUUCGAGAAGACGCUCAAGAGCACAUCCUUCCGAGCUACCAUCUCCGGCAAGAUCACAUCGGCAUCGACACCAUCACCACCAAGAACGUGAAGGUCAAGAGCUCAACACCAACUACCGCUCAACGACUUCACCAUCUCCCUUGGCAUCUUCACCAAGCAACUUCAAGGCAUCUUCGCCUACGGACGUACGGCAUCUUCGCCAACAAGCACCCCAAGACUACGCUCAAGAGAAGCUCCCCAAGCUCAAGUCCGCGACUUCCAUGAGCUACUAUGACCUCGACACCGACCACAGGAUUCCUUUCUAUGGAACUCAAGAACCCGAGGAGUAUCUCGAAUGGGAGCGCCUAAUGGACGACUACCUCAAGCUACAUCAAGUUCCUCCCGAAGAUCAAGUGAAGUUCGCAACAAGAAACUUCCACGACUAUGCAUCAACAUGGUGGCUUCACACACCUUCGGAGAGCUACAACAUGAGUUGGCCCAAGACGAAGAGAGCUUUGAGGCAAGAGUUCGUGCCUCCAACCUACACAGAACAACUUCUACGCCAAUUGGAGAACACCACCCAAGGAUCCAAGUCCAUCGACGCGUACUUCAAGGAGAUGAAGAUUGCCUUGCGACGAGCCGACGUGGACGAUCCCAUUUCGAUGAAGUUCCACUUCAUGAUGGGAUUGCACAAUGACAUCUCCAAGACUAUCUUCCUCGAGAACUACAAGUCCCUCGAUGACAACUACAUUGGUGCUCUCAAGGCGGAACAAGAACUCAUGAAGGCCAAGGCUUCUUCACCCCAAGCACACUUCUCGGUGACCAAGCUCCAUGAGAUAGAGCAUGAGGAUAGUACCACCAAGAUGUCCAAGCCCGACGAGCUCCAAGACAAUGCUCCCAAGUUCGACUUCAUCGCCAUCCCUCUUUGUGGCAUUGAUGAUGCCGAGUCUACUUCGACUCUUUUUCAAGAUGGUGCGGCGACGACUAUGACUACGGAGCCAUUCAAGGACCAAGCUUUGGAGGCGAACGACAUGGUGACGAGCAAGGAUGAUGCUUCCAUCUUUGGAGGCGAGCGUGAUGAUGUGCCAUCUUCGGCCUUCAUCCACGGCGACAAUGAUGAGAUGGUUGAGCAUGGGAUUUUCCCUUCGACCACGGUGACGUAUGAUGACUUGAGAGACUUGUGCCACCAUAUUGAGAGUGAGAGUGACUUCACAACUAGCCCGACAUAUGAUGAGUUGCCCCACUUUCCAUGUGAGGAGAGCCACAACCCCCACCACUUGAGUGAGAUGAGUGACUCCACCAUAUGUGAGAUUGAGUGCAACUACUUUGAGGGAGUGAGUGAACCACCACAUAGAGAGAGUGAGAUAGUUGAUAGGUCUUGUGAGGCCAUUUGCAUCUCUAACAAGUUGACCUCUACCUCUAUUGUGUCUUCUCAUUUGGUGCUAGGUCCCAUUUAUGAUGACGCGCCGAUCCUCGACGACUUCGUCCUCCCUUUGGACAAGACGAUGGCCAUGGUGGAAUAUGAUGCACCCCCCACAUGGUUGUUGGGGAACAUAGUAAUUUCAAAAAUUUCCUACGCACACGCAAGAUCAUGGUGAUGCAUAGCAACGAGAGGGGAGAGUGUUGUCCACGUACCCUCGUAGACCGAAAGCGGAAGCGUUAACACAACGCGGUUGAUGUAGUCGUACGUCUUCACGAUCCGACCGAUCAAGUACCGAACGCACGGCACCUCCGAGUUCAGCACACGUUCAGCUCGAUGACGUCCCUCGAACUCCGAUCCAGCCGAGUGUUGAGGGAGAGUUUCGUCAGCACGACGGCGUGGUGACGAUGAUGAUGUUCUACCGACGCAGGGCUUCGCCUAAGCACAGCUACGAUAUUAUCGAGGUGUAAUAUGAUGGAGGGGGGCACCACACACGGCUAAGAGAUCAAUAGAUCAAUUGUUGUGUCUAUGGGGUGCCCCCUGCCCUCGUAUAUAAAGGAGCAAGGGGGGAGGCGGCCGGCCUAGGAGGAGGGCGCGCCAAGGGGGGAGUCCUACUCCCACCGGGAGUAGGACUCCUCCUUUCCUUGUUGGAGUAGGAGAAGGGAAGGGAAAAGGAGAAGGAAGGAAGGGGGCGCCCCCCUCCCUAGUCCAAUUCGGACUAGUCCAUGGGGAGGGGUGCGGCCACCCUUUGGGGCCUUUCUCUCCUUUCCUGUAUGGCCCAUUAAGGCCCAAUACGAAUUCCCGUAACUCUCCGGUACUCCGAAAAAUACCCGAAUCACUCGGAACCUUUCCGAUGUCCAAAUAUAGUCGUCCAAUAUAUCGAUCUUUACGUCUCGACCAUUUCGAGACUCCUUGUCAUGUCCCUGAUCUCAUCUGGGACUCCGAACUCCUUCGGUACAUCAAAACUCAUAAACUCAUAAUAAAACUGUCAUCGUAACGUUAAGCGUGAGGACCCUACGGGUUUGAGAACUAUGUAGACAUGACCGAGACACGUCUCCGGUCAAUAACCAAUAGCGGGAACUGGAUGCCCAUAUUGGCUCCCACAUAUUCUACGAAGAUCUUUAUCGGUCAAACCGCAUAACAACAUACGUUGUUCCCUUUGUCACCGGUAUGUUACUUGCCCGAGAUUCGAUCGUCGGUAUCUCAAUACCUAGUUCAAUCUCGUUACCGGCAAGUCUCUUUACUCGUUCCGUAAUACAUCAUCCCGCAACUAACUCAUUAGUUACAAUGCUUGCAAGGCUUAUAGUGAUGUGCAUUACUGAGUGGGCCCAGAGAUACCUCUCCGACAAUCGGAGUGACAAAUCCUAAUCUCGAAAUACGCCAACUCAACAAGUACCUUUGGAAGCACCUGUAGAGCACCUUUAUAAUCACCCAGUUACGUUGUGACGUUUGGUAGCACACAAAGUGUUCCUCCGGUAAACGGGAGUUGCAUAAUCUCAUAGUCAUAGGAACAUGUAUAAGUCAUGAACAAAGCAAUAGCAACAUACUAAACGAUCGAGUGCUAAGCUAACGGAAUGGGUCAAGUCAACCACAUCAUUCUCCUAAUGAUGUGAUCCCGUUAAUCAAAUGACAACUCAUGUCUAUGGCUAGGAAACAUAACCAUCUUUGAUCAACGAGCUAGUCAAGUAGAGGCAUACUAGUGACACUCUGUUUGUCUAUGUAUUCACACAAGUAUUAUCUUUCCGGUUAAUACAAUUCUAGCAUGAAUAAUAAACAUUUAUCAUGAUAUAAGGAAAUAAAUAAUAACUUUAUCAUUUCCUCUAGGGCAUAUUUCCUUCAGUCUCCCACUUGCACUAGAGUCAAUAAUCUAGUUCAUAUCGCCAUGUGAUUUAACACCAAUAGUUCACAUCACCAUGUGAUUAACACCCAUAGUUCACAUCGUCAUGUGACCAAUACCCAAAGGGUUACUAGAGUCAAUAAUCUAGUUCACAUCGCUAUGUGAUUAACACCCAAAGAGUACUAAGGUGUGAUCAUGUUUUGCUUGUGAGAGAAGUUUAGUCUAUGGGUCUGUCACAUUCAGAUCCGUAUGUAUUUUGCAAAUUUCUAUGUCAACAAUGCUCUGCACGGAGCUACUCUAGCUAAUUGCUCCCACUUUCAAUAUGUAUCCAGAUUGAGACUUAGAGUCAUCUGGAUCAGUGUCAAAACUUGCAUCGACGUAACCCUUUACGAUGAACCUUUUUGUCACCUCCAUAAUCGAGAAACAUAUCCUUAUUACAUUAAGGAUAAUUUUGACCGCUGUCCAGUGAUCUACUCCUAGAUCACUAUUGUACUCCCUUGCCAAAAUCAGUGUAGGGUAUACAAUAGAUCUGGUACACAGCAUGACAUACUUUACAGAACCUAUGGUUGAGGCAUAGGGAAUGACUUUCAUUCUCUUUCUAUCUUCUGCCGUGGUCGGGCUUUGAGUCUUACUCAAUUUCACACCUUGUAACACAGGCAAGAAACUCUUUCUUUGACUGUUCCAUUUUGAACCACUUCAAAAUCUUGUUAAGGUAUGUACUCAUUGAAAAAACUUAUCAAGCGUCUUGAUCUAUCUCUAUAGAUCUUGAUGCUCAAUAUGUAAGCAGCUUCACCGAGGUCUUUCUUUGAAAAACUCCUUUCAAACACUCCUUUAUGCUUUGCAGAAUAAUUCUACAUUAUUUCCGAUCAACAAUAUGUCAUUCACAUAUACUUAUCAGAAAUGUUGUAGUGCUCCCACUCACUUUCUUGUAAAUACAGGCUUCACCGCAAGUCUGUAUAAAACUAUAUGCUUUGAUCAACUUAUCAAAGCGUAUAUUCCAACUCUGAGAUGCUUGCACCAGUCCAUAGAUGGAUCGCUGGAGCUUGCAUAUUUUGUUAGCACCUUUAGGAUUGACAAAACCUUCUGGUUGCAUCAUAUACAACUCGUUUUUUUAAUAAAUCCAUUAAGGAAUGCAGUUUUGUUUAUCCAUUUGCCAGAUUUCAUAAAAUGCGGCAAUUGCUAACAUGAUUCGGACAGACUUAAGCAUAGAUACGAGUGAGAAACUCUCAUCGUAGUCAACACCUUGAACUUGUCGAAAACCUUUUCCGACAAUUCUAGCUUUGUAGAUAGUAACACUACUAUCAGCGCCCGUCUUCCUCUUGAAGAUCCAUUUAAUCUCAAUGGCUCGCCGAUCAUUGGGCAAGUCAAUCAAAGUCCAUACUUUGUUCUCAUACAUGGAUUCCAUCUCAGAUUUCAUGGCCUCAAGCCAUUUUGCGGAAUCUGGGCUCAUCAUCACUUCCUCAUAGUUCGUAGGUUCGUCAUGGUCAAGUAACAUGACCUCCAGAACAGGAUUACCGUACCACUCUGGUGCGGAUCUCAUUCUGGUUGACCUACGAGGUUCGGUAGUAACUUGAUCCGAAGCUUCAUGAUCAUCAUCAUUAACUUCCUCACUAAUUGGUGUAAGCAUCACUGGAACUGAUUUCAGUGAUGAACUACUUUCCAAUUUGGGAGAAGGUACAGUUACCUCGUCAAGUUAUACUUUCCUCCCACUCACUUCUUUCGAGAGGAACUCCUUCUCUAGAAAGGAUCCAUUCUUAGCAACGAAUUUGCCUUCGGAUCUGUGAUAGAAGAUAUAACCAAUAGUCACCUUUGGGUAUCCUAUGAAGACGCAUUUCUCCGAUUUGGGUUCAAGCUUAUCAUGUUGAAACUUUUUCACAUAAGCAUCGCAACCCCAAACUUUAAGAAACGACAACUUUGGUUUCUUGCCAAACCACAGUUCAUAUGGUGUCGUCUCAACGGAUUUAGAUGGUGCCGUUUUAACGUGAAUGCAGCUAUCUCUAAUGCAUAACCCCAAAACUAUAGUGGUAAAUCGGUAAGAAACAUCAUAGAUUGCACUAUAUCCAAUAAAGUACGGUUAUGAUGUUCGGACACACCAUUAUGCUGUGGUGUUCCAGGCGGCAUGAGUUUGUGAAACUAUUCCACAUUGUUUUAAUUGAAGACCAAACUCGUAACUCAAAUAUUUGUCUCCGCGAUCAGACCGUAGAAACUUUAUUUUCUUGUCACGAUGAUUUUCCACUUCACUCUGAAAUUCUUUGAACUUUUCAAAUGUUUCAGACUUAUGUUUCAUCAAGUAGAUAUACCCAUAUCUGCUCAAAUCAUCUGUGAAGGUCAGAAAAAUAACGAUACCCGCCGCGAGCCUCAACACUCAUCGGAUCGCAUACAUCAGUAUGUAUUAUUUCCAAUAAGUCAGUUGCUCACUCCAUUGUUCCGGAGAACGGAGUCUUAGUCAUCUUGCCCACAAGGCAUGGUUCGCAAGCAUCAAGUGAUUCAUAAUCAAGUGAUUCCAAAAGCCCAUCAGCAUGGAGUUUCUUCAUGCGCUUUACACCAAUAUGACCUAAACGGCAGUGCCACAAAUAAGUUGCACUAUCAUUAUUAACUUUGCAUCUUUUGGCUUCAAUAUUAUGAAUAUGUGUAUCACUACGAUCGAGAUCCAACGAACCAUUUUCAUUGGGUGUGUAACCAUAUAAGGUUUUAUUCAUGUAAACAGAACAACAAUUAUUCUCUAACUUAAAUGAAUAACCGUAUUGCAAUAAACAUGAUCAAAUCAUAUUCAUGCUCAACGCAAACACCAAAUAACACUUAUUUAGGUUCAACACUAAUCCCAAAAGUAUAGGGAGUGUGCGAUGAUGAUCAUAUCAAUCUUGGAACCACUUCCAAUACACAUCGUCACUUCAUCCUUAACUAGUUUCUGUUCAUUAUGCAACUCCCGUUUCGAGUUACUACUCUUUAGCAACUGAACCAGUAUCAAAUACCGAGGGGUUGCUAUGAACACUAGUAAAAUACACAUCAAUAAUCUGUAUAUCAAAUAUACCUUUGUUCACUUUGCCAUCCUUCUUAUCCACCAAAUACUUGGGGCAGUUCCGCUUCCAGUGACCAGUCCCUUUGCAGUAGAAGCACUUAGUCUCAGGCUUAGGUCCAGACUUGGGCUUCUUCACUUGAGCAGCAACUUGCUUGCCGUUCUUCUUGAAGUUCCCCUUCUUCCCUUUGCCCUUUACUAGAAACUAGUGGUCUCGUCAACCAUCAACACUUGAUGUUUUUCUUGAUUUCUACCUUCGUCGAUUUCAGCAUCACGAAGAGCUCGGGAAUUACUUUCGUCAUCCCUUGCAUACUAUAGUUCAUCACGAAGUUCUACUAACUUGGUGAUGGUGACUAGAGAAUUCUGUCAAUCACUAUUUUAUCUGGAAGAUUAACUCCCACUUGAUUCAAGCGAUUGUAGUACCCAGACAAUAUGAGCACAUGCUCACUGCUUGAGCUAUUCUCCUCCAUCUUUUAGCUAUAGAACUUGUUGGAGACUUCAUAUCUCUCAACUCGGGUAUUUGCUUGACAUAUUAACUUCAACACCUGGAACAUCUCAUAUGGUCCAUGACGUUCAAAACGUCUUUGAAGUCCCGAUUCUAAGCCGUUAAGCAUGGUGCACUAAACUAUCAAGUAGUCAUCAUAUUGAGCUAGCUAAACGUUCAUAACGUCUGCAUCUCCUCCUGCAAUAGGUCUGUCACCUAGCUGUGCAUCAAGGACAUAAUUCUUCUGUGCAGCAAUGAGGAUAAUCCUCAGAUCACGGAUCCAAUCCGCAUCUUUGCUACUAACAUCUUUCAACAUAAUUUUUCUCUAGGAACAUAUCAAAAAUAAACACAGGGAAGCAACAGCGCGAGCUAUUGAUCUACAACAUAAUUUGCAAAAUACUAUCAGGACUAAGUUCAUGAUAAAUUUAAGUUCAAUUAAUCAUAUUACUUAAGAACUCCCACUUAGAUAGACAUCCCUCUAAUCCUCUAAGUGAUCACGUGAUCCAUAUCAACUAAACCAUGUCCGAUCAUCACGUGAGAUGGAGUAGUUUCAAUGGUGAACAUCACUAUGUUGAUCAUAUCUACUAUAUGAUUCACGCUCGACCUUUCGGUCUUCGUGUUCCGAGGCCAUAUCUGUUAUAUGCUAGGCUCGUCAAGCUUAACCUGAGUAUUCCGCGUGUGCAACUGUUUUGCACCCAUUGUAUUUGAACGUAGAGCCUAUCACACCCGAUCAUCGCGUGGUGUCUCAGCACGAAGAACUUUCGCAACGGUGCAUACUCAGGGAGAACACUUAUACCUUGAUAAUUUAGUGAGAGAUCAUCUUAUAAUGCUACCGUCAAUCAAAGCAAGAUAAGAUGUAUAAAAGAUAAACAUCACAUGCAAUCAUAAUAUGUGACAUGAUAUGGCCAUCAUCAUCUUGUGCCUUUGAUCUCCAUCUCCUAAGCAUCGUCAUGAGCUCCAUCGUCACUAGCAUGACACAAUGAUCUCCAUCAUCUUGAUCUAUAUCAAUGUGUCGUCACAUGGUCGUCUCGCCAACUAUUGAUCUUGCAACUAUUGCUAUCGCAUAGCGGUAAAGUAAAGCAAUUAUUUGGCGCUUGCAUCUUAUGCAAUAAAGAGACAACCAUAAGGCUUCUGCCAGUUGCCGAUAACUUUAACAAAACAUGAUCAUCUCAUACAACAACUUAUAUCUCAUCAUGUCUUGACCAUAUCACAUCACAACAUGCCCUACAAAAACAAGUUAGACGUCCUCUACUUUGUUGUUGCAAGUUUUACGUGGCUGCUACGGGCUGAGCAAGAACCGUUCUUACCUACGCAUCAAAACCACAACGAUAGUUUGUCAAGUUGGUGUUGUUUUAACCUUCGCAAGGACCGGGCGUAGCCACACUCGGUUCAACUAAAGUUGGAGAAACUGACACCCGCCAGCCACCUGUGUGCAAAGCACGUCGGUAGAACCAGUCUCGCGUAAGCGUACGCGCAAUGUCGGUCCGGGCCGCUUCAUCCAACAAUACCGCCGAACCAAAGUAUGACAUGCUGGUAAGCAGUAUGACUUAUAUCGCCCACAACUCACUUGUGUUCUACUCGUGCAUAUGACAUCUACGCAUAAAACCUGGCUCAGAAGCCACUGUUGGGGAACGUAGUAAUUUCAAAAAUUUCCUACGCACACGCAAGAUCAUGGUGAUGCAUAGCAACGAGAGGGGAGAGUGUUGUCCACGUACCCUCGUAGACCGAAAGCGGAAGCGUUAACACAACGCGGUUGAUGUAAUCGUACGUCUUCAUGAUCCGACCGAUCAAGUACCGAACGCACGGCACCUCCGAGUUCAGCACACGUUCAGCUCGAUGACGUCCCUCGAACUCCGAUCCAGCCGAAUGUUGAGGGAGAGUUUCGUCAGCACGACGGCGUGGUGACGAUGAUGAUGUUCUACCGACGCAGGGCUUCGCCUAAGCACCGCUACGAUAUUAUCGAGGUGUAAUAUGGUGGAGGGGGGCACCGCACACGGCUAAGAGAUCAAUAGAUCAAUUGUUGUGUCUAUGGGGUGCCCCCCUGCCCCCGUAUAUAAAGGAGCAAGGGGGGAGGCGGCCGGCCUAGGAGGAGGGCGCGCCAAGGGGAGAGUCCUACUCCCACCAGGAGUAGGACUCCUCCUUUCCUUGUUGGAGUAGGAGAAGGGAAGGGAGAAGGAGAAGGAAGGAAGGGGGCGCCCCCCUCCCUAGUCCAAUUCGGACUAGUCCAUGGGGAGGGGUGCGGCCACCCUUUGGGGCCUUUCUCUCCUUUCCCGUAUGGCCCAUUAAGGCCCAAUACGAAUUCCCGUAACUCUCCGGUACUCCGAAAAAUACCCGAAUCACUCGGAACCUUUUCGAUGUCUGAAUAUAGUCGUCCAAUAUAUCGAUCUUUACGUCUCGACCAUUUCGAGACUCCUCGUCAUGUCCCUGAACUCAUCCGGGACUCUGAACUCCUUCGGUACAUCAAAACUCAUAAUAAAACUGUCAUCGUAACGUUAAGCGUGCGGACCCUACGGGUUCGAGAACUAUGUAGACAUGACCGAGACACGUCUCCGGUCAAUAACCAAUAGCGGGACCUGGAUGCCCAUAUUGGCUCCCACAUAUUCUACGAAGAUCUUUAUCGGUCAAACCGCAUAACAACAUACGUUGUUCCCUUUGUCACCGGUAUGUUACUUGCCCGAGAUUCGAUCGUCGGUAUCUCAAUACCUAGUUCAAUCUCGUUACCGGCAAGUCUCUUUACUCGUUCCGUAAUACAUCAUCCCGCAACUAACUCAUUAGUUACAAUGCUUGCAAGGCUUAUAGUGUUGUGCAUUACUGAGUGGGCCCAGAGAUACCUCUCCGACAAUCGGAGUGAUAAAUCCUAAUCUCGAAAUACGCCAACUCAACAAGUACCUUUGGAAGCACCUGUAGAGCACCUUUAUAAUCACCCAGUUACGUUGUGACGUUUGGUAGCACACAAAGUGUUCCUCCGGUAAACGGGAGUUGCAUAAUCUCAUAGUCAUAGGAACAUGUAUAAGUCAUGAACAAAGCAAUAGCAACAUACUAAACGAUCGAGUGCUAAGCUAACGGAAUGGGUCAAGUCAAUCACAUCAUUCUCCUAAUGAUGUGAUCCCGUUAAUCAAAUGACAACUCAUGUCUAUGGCUAGGAAACAUAACCAUCUUUGAUCAACGAGCUAGUCAAGUAGAGGCAUACUAGUGACACUCUGUUUGUCUAUGUAUUCACACAAGUAUUAUGUUUCCGGUUAAUACAAUUCUAGCAUGAAUAAUAAACAUUUAUCAUGAUAUAAGGAAAUAAAUAAUAACUUUAUUAUUGCCUCUAGGGCAUAUUUGUUUCAAUGGUUCCAUCAAGAUGAAGAUGACCAACAUUUGGUCUUUCCCACCUCACCUACACCACUUGAGUGGAAUGAGAAUGGUAACAUAGGUGAAGGUGAUGCUCUAGUCCCACUAGUGGACAUUCUUGACAUUGAUUGCUUGCAUGAUGUUGAUCAACCUAUUUCCAUGCUUCAUGCUAGUGCGACUUCCUCAUGUCUUGACUUACCAAUUUAUGAUGAAUAUGAUGAUGAGCAUGUUGAGUUGCCUAGUUGUGAUGCCAUGUUACAUAGGAUUUCUUGUGACAAUUCCCUUGGUCACAUCAUGUUUGAUAAUCCGCUUGACUUGUCAUAUGCUAUGCAUGAGAUCAACCAUAUGUCUUAUUUGCAAUCUCUUCAUAGUGACUAUGCAUAUGCCAUUAAAAUAAACUCAAUUUGCACAUAUGGCAUAGACAACCAACCCAUGGUUAUUGGCAUUUGUUUUUCUUGUGAUGAUAUUGAUAUGCUUCCUUUGCAUCAUUUAUCUCAUAUGCCAUGCCAUGCCCACCUAGCUUCGGAUAUGCAUUGUUUUGGAUGUUGUCCAUUUUCUCCAUAUGAUGUUUCCAAUGUUGUUCAUGAGGAGACCCCCAAAGUUUCCUCAUACAUGUUAGGAUAUUUUGAUCCAUCCCAUCCAUUGCAUGAUCCCAAUAAUUAUGUGCACCAUAUGUUUCCCAUGAAUGAAAAUGCUAUUGAUGUGGCAUAUAAUUGUAUGCUCAAUUUGCAUCCCCAUCGUGUUAUACAUAACAACUAUUCUUUCAUGAUGGAUGACAUGUUCUUAUACCAUGCAUCAAAUUUCUUUGAGCGAUGCUUAGCUUGUGCUAAUUCACACGUGCACAUACACAUCAUGAUGGAUGAUGUGUACAUUUACCACGCGCACAAUUUCUUUGGUUUGUGUCUCUUUUGUGUAGGUACCCAUGAAUACUUGUCAACCUCGCAAUUCCACGAGUUGACAAAACGAGCUUUAGAGAGCAAUGAUGACUUGGGAUCCCAUGGAUUGUUUUUCCAACCGCUCUCUUCGUGCCAAGACUUCACGCAUUUAUUCUACAUGGCUCUCACAUGGUUAUGGCUUAUUUUCCAUUGUGUCUCAUUUGCCCAAAUUGCCAUGUUUACUUUGCAUGAUAUGAUCAUUCCUAUUCCUUUGCCAUGCACUUGUGACCCAUGCUUUGCAUUACACAUGAUGAUUGAUUCUAGUACUUGUAUGUGUAUUUGCAAGCUUGGUGGAGAUAUUGCUUGUUAUUGCCAUGUUCCAUUUGUGACCCAUUCCUAUGAUGAUACUAUAUUCUUGCUUUGUGUUCGUGCUUGCGAUAUGUCAUGUGCAUUGUCUAUGCCUAUUAUUUGCUCACAUGACAUGAUUGCCAUGAUUUCUUCUAGUGUGUUGCAUCUUCGCUCCACUAGUUUGCACGACUUGAUUACUAUGCUUGCUUAUGUUGCAUCACCAAUGAUUCAUACUUUCUCAUUUCAUGCGGUUGAUGACAACCAUUACCAUGCUUUGCACAUGCUUGUUAUUGCUUCUUGUCACAUAUCUCCAUGUGUUGCCUCUCUAAUGCUAGAUGAUUUGACAUGUAUUGAGUGCAACAAUGCUUUUAGUCUUGCUAAUGAGAUUUCCCCCUUAGCAUUCUCGCAUAUAUUUGGAUAUUUUGACAUAUUUGUUGUGAAGCAUGCUUGCCUUACCUCUUUGCACCAUAUACCUAGUGCCAUGAAUAUUGCCAUUGUUGCAUCAUAUUAUUCAUGCACUUGUGCUUCUAAUGGUUAUGUGCAAAAGAAGAGAACCAUCAUGAUGGAUGAUGUGUUUAUCUACCAUGCACAUACGUUCUUUGUUUUGUUGUGUGCAUGUGUAGGAUACUUGUACUUUGUGUCGACUUCCACUUCACGUGAGUUGACCAUUCGAGCUCUUGAGAGCGAGCCUCAUACAUUCUACCAUGACUCGCUUCUACACCGCUUUUGCUUGCGUUUUGGCAUUGUGAAGAACGCACAAGGGCAUGCUUUCAAGGUGAUAUCCUUCUCUUUUGAGAACCCCGAAACCAUGAGCAUGGAUAUUAUGGAUCAUACUACUUGUGUUGCUUGCACCAUGAGACUUAUUGUUCAUCUUGGACCACUUGAUUGCACACAUGUUAGAGAUCUUGUUUCGACUUGUCAUUUUCACCAUUCCAUGCAUCAUGAUAUAUAUGCCUUGUGUAUUGCAUCCAAUGAUUGGAUUACUUGCUCCUAUCAUAUGUUUGGUUGCAACAAUGUCAUCUCUUCACAUAUGCCAUGUCACAUUGCUUGUCACAUGAUUGACUUGAUUGCCUCACACAUGAUGAACAAUUGCUCUUUUUCUUGUGUUGAGUGCCACAUGAUUUUCACUACACCCUAUGCAUGUUAUGCUUGGAUUGUCUUGCACUUGAUCCAUGUGUUUAGACACUUCAUUUUUUUUGGUGUGGUCAAUGCUUCCUAUGCCUUCCAUAGACCAUUUGUUGAGCGCUUUAUGCAUGCUUGCUAUGACCUUGAGGUAGAUGCUUGUUCAAUUGUCAAACAUAUUUGCAUCUCUACCUCCCAUUUGCAUACUUAUUUCCAUGAUGACCUUCAUUAUGCUCAAUUUAUGUGCUUACAUGCCAUGUCACAAUCCUAUGUCAAACCAUAUGCUAUGCUUGAUGACAACACUUGUUUGGUGCAUCACCUCUGUAAUGCUUGGUUUUGCACUAACGCUAACCACAUUUGUUUUUCCAAGUGUUUGUUGUCUUUGCUCCUUUUGAAGGAAUCACUAGAUGGUGCGACAUUGGAGAGUGCCCAUUUCGAGCUUCAAGAUGACGAGAGCUUGGUGAUCGUCCAGUCCUACACGUCGAUGCCAUCUCUUUCCCAUGGUGAUUUGGUUUUUGAUCCGAGGUCGGAUCUUUCCCAAGGGGGAGGGGAUGAUGCGGAGCAUCCUACGGUCAUCUCCUUGUACACCUUCAUAGCACCUCAAGCCCCAAGUGGACCUACCGUACUUAAGGUGAACCCGCUCCUCUUCGAGAUUUACAUGAAUAUAUCCAUUGGACGUGGUUGCUACCUCACCAUGGAACGUUGUGCAUCAUUAGGUACAAGGGCAACCACCACCAAGCAGCUAGGAAGCUUCCCGGAGGCCAAGGAUAAGGACCCCAAGACCCAAGAGCUGACCGGAGGUGUCAAGAUGAAGAAAACGAAGCGUGCAGAAAUUGCACUACCGGACAGUCCGGUCCUCACAGCGGACAAUCCGGUCGCACCGAAAUUGCACUACCGGACAGUCCGGUCCCAACAGCGGACAGUCUGGUGGCACCUGAAAUUGCAUCUGUCCUCACCGGACUAUCCGGUCCUUACCACCGGACUGUCGGGUCCGCCCAGUUUCGCUACGAAUCGGGCUAAAAAGCCCAUGUAACCUCCGAGGCCCAUACCCCUUCGCCCCUAGACUAUAUAUUCCGUGCUCCUCUCAGUUUUUAGGGUUAGCUAAGAUUAGAACUAAACAUUAGAGCUUAGCUCAUGUAUCUCCCCUUGUGGGUUUCCUCUUGAGGGAGAAGACUCCAUUGGAGUUCAAGGCCUCCAUUGGAGAAGAUCCCUAGAGAUUCAAGACCCCUUAUAGGGAAGGAUCUAUCUAGAUCAUCAAGACCUCAUCUCCUUUGGAUUUGGGAUGAACUUUAUCUUGUGUCUUUCCCUUUGUUGUUCUUGUACCUUUGUGGAUCUUGUGUGAUUGUGAGUCUAGUGGAUGUGUGAUUGGACUUGUUCUAGAGUGUUUUCCUCUUGUGAUUUCCCCUCUUGUUCUUUGCGUUCUUCGCGUUCUUCAUGGAUUCCCCUCCAAUUCGUGAAAGAUCUCCACUUAGGGUCUCCACCCUACAACAAUAAAGGAGCAUGAUCUAUCGAGAUGCAAAUGGGUGACACGGUGGUUUUAGCGAGUUCGGGCCUCUCACGGUGGAGAUAACAACCUGCUCCGGAGAGGCUUUCUUUAUCUGUCAUGAACACGGAGUUACAUGGUGUAUUUUAGAGAGAGAGAGGGGAGCGGAUCCCAUGCCUGAGCUAAGUCCUGAGACUAAUGGCGAGAGAGAGAGAACUAAGAGGAGAAUAAUGAAAAAAAACUAGUCUAGUGGUGGGGGUGGCUUAUAUAGAGUGCGCCACCCCCUCACAUCCUAUGUUACAAAGAGGGCAUGAAUGCCAUAAUGUCAGCCCACUACGAAACCUCCACUAUGAGAAUGGUGCUUCGACUGCCUUGUCGACUGUUUGAUCUUCGCAUAUCCGAGUGAGUCGUACGGUCGAGUGGUGAAUUGUCAUCCGAGUGGAUGGUAUGCUGCUUGUCCGAGUGGAUAGUAUGCUGCUUGUCCGAGUGGAUUGUAUGUCUCUAUGAAAUUUAUCUGGACCCACAUGAUGUGUGGACCCCCAUGCUUUAUGAUAUUUUGACCCUUUGUGGGCCUACCUAUUAAAUGUAUCCCCAACAGUCACCCCGUGUUAAAUGACGGGCCGUUCAUAACAUUGGCCGAAGUGUUUAUGGCUUGACCUCGGCUGUGGCCGAACACUAACCAGGGGCUAGUAGCUGGCCUCCCAACUUUAAGCUCCUAUGACUAAGUGAAAGUUAUAAAGCCCGCAUAUCUGAUUGCCUCGUUUCCGCUAACUCAACCGCCUCCGGGCACCGAGACGUUGGCUAAGGGUUGUCUUGUUAUUGUGGAAACACCCUGCGUAGCAUCUACAAAGGGGUAGAAGCCGACGAUGGGCCACUUUCAAUUGAUAAACGGUCGCAACGGAGUCAAAAUAAACAUAUCAUCAACAUUUGUAUUCAGUAUACAAGUGCUGCCUUCUGUAAUCAUCAUUAUAAAGCCAUAAAUAUGCAUCAAAUUUGACUUAAGAUUUUGGCCAAGCUGGGUUGCCUAGCUCCUGUGUUUAACCCUAUGUUCCCGAUUGUUCGGCUAGGCGAUAAAGGGAGCACCUCUGUGAUUGUUACUACCGGGUCAUCCAGAUUAGUACCUCAGACUGGGUGAAGCCGAAAGCUAGCUAUCUUAAAAAUAUAAUUGGUCGGCCCGAUGGAAGUGAAAAUUCUGGUUCAUCAUGGACCAUAGAGUUCGGGAACUAUACCUUAACUAAAUCCUCGAUAUUUUCCUCCACAUUGAUCGGAGAUGAGAUUUCAUGAUCAUGGUAAGCAUGAGAACCCAAAGAAAGGAAUCGAUAGCGGAACUAUUUUCUUUGGAAGAUAUUUCUUUAUAUAACAUAUCUCUCCGCAUACCUUUGUUUAUAAAACCGUAUGGCCAGAUUGCCUCGUUUGCCACAAAUCUUUGCCCUCAUAAAGGCUUUAAAAAGUGGGACAAACACUCCUUGGCUACUGGCCGAGGAGGUUGAAGCCGAUGGUCGGUCAAUAAAGUUUUGUACAAUGCGGAUCCGAGCAUUAAUGAUGUAAAGUACUUUGGUACAUAGAAUCAUUACACACAAAUUGUGAGCAAAAAAUCAAUUUUUUCGCAGCCAAUCUUUUAAAGAGUCAAUGGCACAGUCUCUUUGAGACAACCGAGCAGCUGACAUAACACUCUCAUAGUUCCCUAUUGGCAUUGAUUUCCUAUCUAUUAAGCCCCUUAAGGCCGACCUUGGCGAGCUCAGCUUUCGUUAGCUCUAACUCCUUUAUGAGAUCUUUAUUCUCUUUCCGAGAAGUUUGUGUUAAACACAACAUUUUUUUUUCAAACGGAUAUCGAUCCUUAAUUCGGCCACCCGUGCCCACAUUAAGGCUCGAGGGCUACUGGGCUUCAUGCUUAUUAUUUACAAAUAUUAAAGGGGCACAUCGAUCCCCUGAUCUGGUGUUGCCACCCGACCAGUGUCUCGGGGGCUACUGCAUUGCCUAUUCAAUGCAGAAAAUUCAAAGUGCUCAGUGUUCGGCUUGACCGAACUAUGGGAAAACGCGUCUUCGGACAACAAUAGGUACCAACUGGGACUUAUCCGGCAUCAAGGUAAGAUAUUACGGCGACUUCUCAAAGCCCUCUCUCAAGGGCCCGUCCACCGAUCACUAUCUCCUUUAAUGUGCAUCUCAGAUUUUAGGCCGACACACACCUUGAGGGCUACUGGCUAUAUAUCUCGUCAGUAAAUAAAUUGCAUCAAUCGGAAAUAAAAACCGCAAACAAUCAGCCCGAGCCCGAGGUGGUGCAUCACCUCGGAAGUAGUCCGGCAUAAAGCUCGACUGCGAGCGGCUGGCUCCAUAGAGAACUUUUCAGCGUUAAAGCUCGGAUAACCUCCUUCAAACUUUUUCAAGCCAAGGUGAUCUAUGACACCUCGGAUAUAGUCUGGCGUUGGAGUUCGGAUACAUUCCGGCAUUGGUGCUCGGCUGCAAAAGAUAUCUCGAAUGCAGUCCGGCGUUGGAGCUCGGAUGCAAGAGGACGCUGCCGCACGGGAACAACUUCAAACCCGAGGUGUGGCGUAAAAAAUAACAAGGCAUUGAUAAAGGCCGAGAACUUAAAGGGGCUCCUCGGAUACCCGACGUGUAAACUCUUCGGAUUCACUUCGACGAUCCUCAGGAUCGAAGAUGAGAAGAUUUGUUGAACCAGUUUUCAAGACCGACGACCGAAGAUGAAGAACAGUUCGGAAGAAUCAAGGAGCGUCCCCAACUUGAAGACCAGUUCAGGGGGCUACUGACGAUGUCCUGGACUAGGGGGUACUCAACACGUCGUCUCCCGACCAGCUGGAUCGGGCUAAGGACCCCCAUGGUGAUUCACUAAUGGGCCACUUUAGGCAGCCCAUGCCGCAUACAAGGAAGACUCCACAAGACUUGGUGAUCAAGACAAGGACUCCUCUCCACCAACGUAUUCGACUAGGGCUCUUGUUAUCCUAGGCCUCUGGUACAUUAUAUAAGCCGGGGCCAGGCUAGUCGAUAGAGGACGAUGACAAUAUUCACCAUACCCUCAGGUUUUAGACCACAACAUAUGAUCUCGAGGUAGAUCAACUCUGUAAUCAUACACAUAGAAUAUAAUCAAGCAGGAGUAGGGUUUUACCUCUUAGAGAGGGCCCGAACCUGGGUAAACACCAUGUCCCUCGUCUCCUGUUACCCAUCGAUCCUAAGACACACAGCUUGGGACCCCCUACCCGAGAUCUGCCGGUUUUGACACCGACACCCACAUAUCAAAUUAUCAAAGUAGCAAACACAAAUCGAACCAACAUGGUGAAAGUGACUAGAUGAAAUUGCCGUGUACCCUCAAGAACGCUUUGCUUAUCAUAAAAGACCGUUUUGGCCUGUCCUUUGCCUCAAAAGGAUUGGGCUACCUUGCUGCACUUUUGUUACUACUUUUGUUACUUGCUUGUUACAAAUUAUCUUGCUAUCAAAAUACUCUGCUACUUACAAUUUCAACACUUGCAGACAUUACCUUGCUGAAAACCACUUGUCAUUUCCUUCUGCUCCUCGUUGGGUUCGACACUCUUACUUAUCGAAAAGAGCUACAAUUGAUCCCCUAUACUUGUGGGUCAUCACACAUAUACAAUUUACCAUUGUAUUGGGUGUGUUGGGGACACAAGAGACUCUUUGUUAUUUGGUUGCAGGGUUGUUUGAGAGAUACCAUCUUCAUCCUAUGCCUCCCACGGAUUGAUAAACCUUAGGUCAUCCACCUGAGGGAAAUUUGCUACUGUCCUACAAAACUCUGCACUUGGAGGCCCAACAUGAGUCUACAAAAAGAAGGUUGCGUAGUAGACAUCACUGCCACGCAUUGUACACGCAGCUCUGAUCUGAAUUGUGUUUGAUGUAUGCGCUAUCGCAAACAGUUUGUCUCUUUUUUGACGGUUUUCUUACACCACCGUUUGUGAUUAACGCAUCGCACACAGUUUCAUCGAAGGUUCUUUGAUUGGACUGCCGCGUUUGGACCAUCCUGCAGUAGUGUCUCGGUGGUAGAAUGGUUGGCCGUUUUGUCGUCGCCGGCCGCCGGCAUUCUCUCGAACAGGUUGCAGGCACCGAGGAGCAUGUCGGCUGGCAUCUCUUGUGGGCGUUUGCUCGCCUCUCCGGAGGAUGAUGCACCGGCCACCGGUGUGGCGUUGAGGUCGAUGGCCACGGGCGCGGGCACGGGCGUGGACGGCGCCAUCACACUCACCUCCGGCGAGCAUUCCCCUGAGAAAUGGGAGGCUUGUGGAUAGACAUGGAAGCCGGGAAUCGGUUGCGUGGCAGACGCGCAGGGUGAAUCUGGCAGCACCAUCCAAGGAAAUGCCGACGAGCCCGUGCUGGCCGUGGCCACGACGGUGCUGACGAGCCCGUGCUGGCUAGGGUUUAACCCUAGGUAGAUCAGGGCCUCCCUCAUUGUCGCGGUGACUCAGGCAUUGGUUUCCUCCUGCUAUGUGGCGGCGGUGAGGGUGGCGACGGCCGCCGCUUCGUCCCUUGCAUCUUGCGCGUGCCUCCGGCCCUUCCUCUUGGCCGACUGCAUGGCCCGCUCCUCGGGCGUCAGCUUCUUCUUCUUGGGUUGCGCCGCGGUCUUGCGGGGCGCGCAGGCCGCACGGGGCUUGCCUUUGGCGGAGGCGACGAAGGUGAGGCCAGACGAGGCGAGGCUAGUGGCGGCAUCGAGGGUCGGCACGUCGUCCAUUGCCGGGAGCGCGAGCGGGCGGGAGGGUUUUGGGAAAGUGGUGGGAAAUGGUGGUCGCUAUGCCACCGACUGGCGGGCCAUGGGGGGAGUAGGCGAGCGCCCCGCGCGUCCGUUUCUACCAGCGCCGACGCAAAUGAGACUCAAAUUUGGGUCAGGAAUGGGUCGGCAGACGGAUGAAAAGCGGACGCGCGUCCGUUUGGGUUGGUGCGUUGGGCCAACUUUUCUGUCCGCGGUGACCCAAACGGACACGCGCGAACAAAAUAGGUCGGCACUUUGGAGUUGCUCUCAUACUCUUUAGGUUAAGAUACGUGGUGAAAUCUUUUUUGUGAGAUCCAAACCACCGACAUGGACAUUAGGCUUAUAGAUGGUACAUUUAGAAAACCUUAUGGUAUUUUGUUUGGUGUUAUGUUUUCCUUGGUACUUUCACUUACCCUGUUGAUUUUGUUGUCAUAGAAAUUUCUGAAGAUGAUCUUUCUUCAAAUAUAUUUGGAAGGCCUUUCUUGAACAUUUUAGGGGCCAAAAUUAAUUGUAAAAGAGAGGUGGUUUCUCUUGGUUUUGAGAAAGAGAACAAGGAAUUUCACUUCUUCAGAUUCAACAAUCAUCCACAAUUAGGUGAGUAUGAUGGCAGUGAGGAUAGAACAAUAACAACUCGACACUAAUUGCUUCAUGACGGCGAAAGAUGAAUUCGUAAGAAGCCUCACCGAAUAUAAACAAAGCCCUGAAGAACCUAGUAAGAUGAAAACCGAUCAACAUCUCAAUGAGGCACCCAUUUAAGAGCGAAACAGUUAACGAGACAUUCGAGGUGCCUGAAAAGAAGGGAGAUGAAGAACCCCCACCUCCGAAACUUAAACCGUUACAAGAAAAAAAUCAAGUUAUGUGUUUUUAGAUGAAACAAAUAAAUAACUUAUAUUAGUAUUAUAAGUGCUAACUUUUCAAAUAAAGAAAAAAGCAAACCAACCUGUGGUUGAAUGGUUAGAGAGACAGUGACAUCCCCAGUCCAUCAGGGUUCAAUUCCUGGUGCUCGCAUUAUUCCUAGAUUUAUUUCAGGAUUUUCGGCGAUGUGCUUUCAGUGGGAGGAGACGUUCCCUUCGACGACGAGGCGCCUACGGUAACUUCGUAAAUCUCAAGAUGAUAUGUUAGCUCAGUCUCUUGAAGAUGCUCAUAGGGAUAGAGUGUGCGUGUGUGCAUUCAUAGGGGUGAGUAUAUGCGUGUAUGUAUGAGCGUUUGGGUUUGUACCGUCAUGAGCACAGCUGCUGCAUUAACCGAUCUCAUCUUAUAAAAGUAACUUGGAGGAUAAGAAACCGUCCACGUCGGACCGCCUGGACCCACGCUCCAGAGAGAGAGAGAGAGACAGUCCCGAAAUUUGCAGCCAAGAAAACACAAGGAAACAGAGCAUAUUCCGCCUGUUCCAGCAGCAGAGAGAAGCAACCUAACAUCCAGCCCGGCCGCGAGAGAGAGAUCCCGCCGAAUCCCCAAACCCAACCACCGCUCCUCGCCCGCCUCCCCGGCGACCUCAGAUCUCGUCUGCGGCGGCGGCGGCGACGGCGGAGGCGGAGGGCGGGGAUUGGAGGCGAAGAUGUUCUAUGGGGCGAUGGUGUGGGAUCCGUGGCUGAUCGUGGCGCAGAUCGUCUGCCUGCAGUGCCUCUACUACCUCGGGCUCGGCCUCUUCAUGGCGCUCCUCGUCGGCACCCGCGUCCCGCGCCUCACGCUCCUCUACCUCUUUGACUUCGCCACCCUCACCCCGCGCACAACCACCGGCUGGUGCGCCAUCGCCUCCUUCCUCCUCGCCGCCAUCGCGGGGUACGGUAACAGCACUGCUCAUUCCCAUUCCCGCCGGCACGCCAGCCAUUUGUUCCUCAAGCUACGACCUGCUUCUACCUGUGCAACAUUUAGCAGUGCGGGGUUCCUCUGUAGGAAUCAAGACGCGGAAUAGGUCGACUGGACCCCUGCACUUGGUGGUAAUUGCUUCUGGUUAUGACUGCAGGUGCUAAUUGCUUCGAGUUCCAAAAGCAUCGACUGUAAAUUGCCUGUCAGCAGCGUGUAGUUUACCACAUCUUUUUCUAAAUUUGCGGAAUGUAACAGCCAUUUCUUCAACCAGUAGUUAAGCUUCUCGAGUUUGUUGGUAUGUAUUAAGCCUAGAGAGGGGUCUGGUCGUAUACUUGUACUUGCUAGGGCUGUGAAGUAUCUGAAAUAUAACGCCAAAUCUGCCAUGUAACAUAGAUGCAUUGUGAUAUCGGCUUCCCAGUUGAUACAUCAGAAGAUUUUUAGUAGACUGUCAUUGAUGGCUGCUAUGGAAACCUUGUUCUUGUUGCCAUAUGUUGCAUGGGUGUAGGCGCCCAAUUAUGCCUGGAAGGAAGACCAUCUCAUCAGUAGAUAGGCCAGUAAAUUAUUUUAUGGAAUUCCAGUUGUAAUUCAGAAAGAUAUCGUCAGCACUUUCCAUCCUCAUUUUCCAAAUCAAUCAAGAAGAGUUUGAUCUCUAGAAAAUAUUCUGGAGCCAGAUAUUCUAAUAACAGACGGAUAAGGGAAUUAAUCCACCCCAUUCACAUAUCAUUUGUGGGCAGUGCGAGGAAAGCACUUGCUAAAGUAUCUGAACUUCAGAAAUAACAUAUAGGAAUCAGGUUUUGCUGCUUCAAGCCUUUUGGAAAUGAAAAUUUUCUGCUAACACGUACUGUGUUUUCCUGUAUUUUAUAUCCUUGUACUUAGGCUAAACCUUCGACUGAAAAGGGCUUUCGCCCCACUUUAUAGAUAAUGCCAACCACCGAAACAACCGAGUAAACAUGGUAGUAGCAAACACAACAACACCACAACACCAAUUCUCAAGCAACCAUCUAAAUAGGCGCAAUGCCCUACAUCGUAGUAGGUUAGCGUCUAGCAUUCAGGAUUAGACUUCAGUUUCCACACUAUACUUGUCAACAAUAACUACAGAACCAAAACCAUGCUACCGAUGAUAACUUGAUAAGCCUUCACUAAGAACUUGGUCUUUGUUUACCUACGAAGAGAAUGGGCUUGAUUGAUGUUGCUUUAGCCUUUUCAGUUAUCUAACUGUUCCUUCUAUGUUUUCUGCAAGAAAUGGUUCGGUUUUAACUUUGCUUCCAUGCUUUCCUUGGGCAGUGCUGGAUUCAUGUUUUAUGUGAUUGAGAGAGCCAAGAAGUGCCUGGACUUUGCAGCUACCCUCUACAUCAUCCAUUUGUUCAUUUGCAUUAUUUAUGGUGGAUGGCCAGCUUCAGGUACAUGGUGGGUGGUUAAUAUUGUUGGUUUGGCAAUCAUGUCCCUCCUCGGUGAAUACCUAUGCAUCAGGCGAGAGCUAAAAGAUAUUCCAGUAAGGCUUCGUGCAAGUAAGCAACUCUGUCCUAAUGAUUUUGUCUUUUUUCAUUUUCCUUAGAUGAUUGUUCUCUUUUUAAAUAAGGAGUCCUGUACAUUUUGUUGCUUAUCUAUGUAGCCCUCUUACAGUAUGCUUACCCAAGAGUCUCAUUUAAGCUCGAAUAUUAGAGUGACUAAGUUGUUAAUACAUGCUGCUAAUGAACUUUGAAGCAGUGGAUGGCACAUUAUAUUGUUUGGAUUAGUUGGCGAUUUUGUAAUAUCCUAAAUCUUUUAUUGCCACUUGGCACCUACCUGUGUCCAUAUGUGACUAUGAGUUUUGGUGGUCCUUAAUUCCUUUUUAGGCUUGAAGCUCACUAUAAUUAGUACCAACUGAGAUAUUGUGCCAUCACAGAUUCCCAUAUUUUGAAAGUUUUCUGCUGUUCUUAUGCUGUCUGCUGAUAAGGAUUGUAGUAAGUUUGAGCACAUAUAGACACGGGAAUGUGCCUUUUUGUUUGGCUAAUUUCUUCGGCAAGUCAUGGUUUACUUUUAGACAGGGCUUGAGCGUCACAGCUCUUACCCUUGACGUGGCUAAUUUUUUUGAACUUGAAGCGAAUUGGUGCUAACUAAAAUAAAAUGAAAGAAAGCAAUUGGUUCUAACUAAUUUUUUUGAACUCGAAGCCAAUUGGUGCUAACUAAAAGAAGAUGAAAGAAAGCAAUUGUAUAUUGAGCAAACUGUAUGCAAACAAAUGAAAGAAAUAAAACUAAUUAUGCAAAUACGGCUAAAUUUAAUGUUAGUUCCAGUUACAAAAAAAUCAUGUUUCCCAAUGCAGACUGAGCAGAUGGUAAACUUAGUUUGGAGCAUAGAUAUGCAUCAGAAUUUUAAUCUUUGCAAAAUUAGAAGAAUGAUUACUGCAACUUGGACCAAGUUCUUAUCCAGUCUCUGGUUACAGCAUCAUGCUAAUUCAGUUCAGGCAUCUAAUCAUGAUCUAGCAGCGUUAAAAUGUUGACAGGCCGCUGCUUCCUUCUACUAACAUGUCUAGCUGAACUGUAUGAUCCACAUCUUUCUUAUAAAGUGUAGUGUUAGUGAGUUUAACUGCUGUUGUCAUAGAAUGUUUCUUACACACAGAAGUUGAAAACCACAUGGCCUAGCGUAAGUUCAGACCAAACUGCAUUAUUAGUCCAGCUGAUGAUAUGAUCCAAAUGAGUGAGCAUUAGGCUUCUAGCGAGUCCUGUCUAUAGAUCGAGUGAUUGACUAAAAUCUUGCCAAAUGAGCACCAAUAAUGUUUGACUAACAGAAAACCUGGUAGAACUCUAAGUUGGGCUGGACCCACUGAGUACUCGAAACCUAUGUAGUUGUUCUCACUUCUCAGCAUGUAGAAUCAGAAAAUUUCGAGAGCUCAAAAUUAGUUUUUCAUGGUGUAAUAAACUGACUUGCUGGCCGUUCAAGUUCAGCUCUGUUUAGGGUGCAUAAGCUUCCAGACCAAAAACCAUUGGAAACAAAAAGCAUGCACUGCUGGUUCAUAGCAUUUUCAUGAUUUGAAAUAGUAUAGGAACAUGUGACCACGUAAGAUAAACUUUUUAUUUGACCUGGCUUAUCUAAUUGUUUUCCAGCCUUUUCAGCAUGACUGACUUCCUUGAGUGAAAAGAUAUAGUGUCUUCUGUGUUGUUUGACAAAUAUUAUCAUAAAUAAGGUGUCAGCUCUGUUUAGAUUCUUGAACAAGAGAACAAUGACAUUGAGAACUUAAGUAGUAACGAACUUUUCUUACUUGGCACCACUGAACUCAGUAAUGUGCACUGUUACUCCCCCCUGUUUACCUCUGUUGAAUUCUAUCUUCUCCAGUCACAACUCAGUAGCCUUCUAAUUAUUUCAUCCUUCCUUCAGGUGUUUAAUCUCAGAGGCUAAAGGAGUAUAGGUGGUUUCCAACUGUUGUUACCCCCCAGGAGAUGCUUGUUAAUAUCUGUCCUUAGGAAUACAAGAGACCUGCGAUGCAUGCUUUCUUCUGUGAUUUACAACCAAUACUGUUGAAUCCUGCAAAUAUAUUUGCUAUUGUAAUGCAUGAGCUCUCAGUAGAACCACCAUAGGUAAUGGCAUUGCAAGCGAGGCUUCUGAACUACCAUCAUUGGAAUGGGAUGGCAGCUCAUUUUUUGUGGCAUGUAUCAAGUCUUCCUCUCUUACGGAUGGUGAUAGAAAAAAGGUUUCUGCUUCACAAUUUGUAUGACUAGAUAACAAUACCUUGAAAUUGCUCUUUAGCGAGAUUGAUAAUGCGAAUUUUAUCGCACAUUUUGAUUCUUGCUAGCUGUAUAUUGGAGAUAUUAUACCUAGUGUAUUGUUUCAGCAAGUGGCAGCUGAUUUCUGUCUGACCCCACAUGACUGCUCAGAAAUUCAACAUUCCUUCACAAUAUCUCUUUAAGUUCGUAUGAAGUAAUGCUAGUAUGUGUUUGGCAUAGAGGAGUUUCAAUUGUUUUGAACACUAGGAAUUGCAAUUCUAUGUGAACUCAAGCUCUUCAAUGUAUAUUUCGUUCUUUGAGAGGUGUUAAUGGGUGGCGUCCCAGCUCGCUGUUGCCACUUGACGGCCAACAAUUCUCUGAUAGUUCACUGUGGACAAUGUCAAUAGGGCAAGUACUCGAUUUCCCUGAAGCAACUGAAAUUUAUGAUUUGAGUAUUUUUUACAAACGAAGUGACCCUUACGAAUACAAUGGCAUAGGAUAAUAUGGUUUAGAUGUAGUUGCACACUAAGUGUGAAAAGACAAAAAGAAACCAAAAAAUUAAAAUUAAAACAUAAAAAUCAAUCAAAUGAAUACAAAGAGUCCGAGAAAUUAAAACAUAAAAAUCAAUCAAAUUAAAACAUAAAACUCAAGAUCUUUGAUCGAGCGACGACAACGCUUGUGCAUUGUUUCCUUCUUGGAGGCGUCGCUUAUGGAGAACCUUUUUUGCGGUCCGAGUGUUGUCUUUGGUGGUGUUUAGAGUGUUGCUGUUGCGAGUGUGUCAUCACUGCGACGGGGUCUUUUUUUUUACAUUUCUCUCUUUUCUGUUUUGUUUUUGGCUGUGUGCAUCCUGGAUGUCUUUCGACAUCCUAUUGGUGCAGAGGCUGGGUGUAAUUGGUAUCUUUGCGAUAUUAAUAUAUUUCCCUUUUAAAAAAAGAGAGAAGAAAACUAAAAAGAAAAUUCAUUACAGGCCUCUGCUAGAGAUCUGACGAAUAUAACCUCGACCAAGGCUUAUAACUAACUUAAAUAUUAUCCAAUCGAGCGGAUUUUUUGUGUAAAACUUGUGCUCGAGGAGAAGGCCUUUAUUUUGGAGUUUGAGAUAUAGGAUGGCAAACCCCCAUCUUCCCGUUGGCUUGCAAAAUCCGUUUUCUAGACGGCAAGAGAAGAGCAUUUUUUCUCCAAGAUGGGUAUUGUACUCAACUCCCUUGAAGCAAAAAAUUGAUCAUUGGCCACCGUAUAGCCGGAUCUCAAAAGGGAUAGGAAAACGCUCCAGGGGAAGUGUUUUGCCGCCGAUCUGGAACAGAACAACCCACAGGCACCUGAGAGUGAUAUCAGGCUGCCCAGCGAGUAGACGACGCAGGGAAUGUUGCGUUAGUUGUGAUUGGUCGCUGGAGACAAGACGGUUUGAGCAAUCCAUGGCCAUCCAAUCAAUCCAAACCUAAGCUAAUCCCUUUUACAUCAACAUAAUAAAUAUUUGCAUGGUUUGGUUCGAUUCGUUCGGUCCGCGUAUGAUGGUGAUGAUGAUGAUUGUUAUACAACAGGAAGGAAGAGGAGCUGCGUUAGGCGGUGACAGCGUGUGGGCCCCGCUCACAUGCAAGCAAGCAAACCUCUGUUCUUGCUCUUGCUGUUGCUUUUGUUGUUGACGUGUAUCGUGUAGCAGGGCCAAGAGAGAAGAGAAACCUUAAACCAAAUCGCAAUCCUUCUUCCUUGUUGUUAUUCCGCCCGCGCCCGCAAUCAUCACCGGCAACAUGCAUGCAUCGUCUAGUUUUGGCUACCUUUUUCUUUGGUUUUCUUUCCGGCAAAGGCUCCCGGUCUUUACUGUUUCCGCUCCCGGUUCCUUUCCAACCCGGCUCUGGGAGCCAGGUAUCAAUGGGACCGUCUCAAGUGCCUAAAAAUAAAAUGACAUCUGUCACUUCCAUUCAGAGUCGUUAGAUCUUCUUUCAAUGGUUGAAAACAGAUAAUGACAUUGUUCAUCUUCUACCUUCAACUUUCCUUCCUCGCGCAACCACCGGCCAACACAGGUCUAACCGCCCACCGCGGCCCCCUUCCCUCGACCUCCCCGCACCGUCGUGCUGGCCGCUGUUUCGGCCAUCCCUUUAAGGCCCGCCGCACCGAAAACAACUAUGACAGUCCCCUACACCUCCAUCCCCUAAGAUGGAUGUGAAGGAAGGAAGGAAUGAAGAAGACGAGUGACGCGAAAAACAGUUUCAUGUACACAAGAAAAAAAAGCAAAACCGGGUAUUAAUUCCGGUGCGUGAGUUAACAACAGACAAUUCAGUCUGCACGACAGCGAGACGACGGCAAAUCCAACCGUCCACUGCACUUCGAUGAUAUGAAUGGACGAAGUGAUAUGCGAUGUGGUGCAGAAUUCGUCCACACAACGUCUUGUGUGUAGCAGCGCUCUUACUGGUUGACGUGCUCACGUACAUUCCGUAAUGGACAAGUUGGACGGAUGCAUGAUCCUGUGCAGGUUACGUACCGAUGCAGCCAAGCGUGUGAAGCCGUUAAACACUGGCAGGCACUGACAUUACAGAUGCUACUGCUCCUACUAGUACUUAAUUGUGGUCAGGAAUGAGGAGCUAGUCACUCACAUGACAGGCGUCUCCCCGUGUUUCAAGGCUAAAAUGGCGGGCUCCCUCAGACGCGUCCAAGGACUAUAGCUAUACUACUUCCAUUACCUAAUGUCGUCAUGACGAGAUGAAACGAACAAAACAGUCUGAAAAGCAGGUGUACCAGAGCCAGGAAAGAACAAUACAUGAUGAGUAUCAUGAUUAGCCGGUCGGCGAAAAUGAAAAGAAUAUUUUUAAUGGUUUAUUUGCUACUCUAGUUGGAUUACGGAGGAGGGAGAAAACAAAGGGCCAUAGCUGCUGGCUUCGCUGGGUGUGGAUUCCCACUAAGCGCGUCGGCGUCGUCGUCGUCAUCUCGUCGGAGUGGAAUGGAUGCUCUGCACGUUGCGACGGGGCCCUCACUACCAUACCAUGCCAUACCAUGGAGCACAACGCAGCACAACAGCACAGCACGGCGCAGCUAUCUUCCUUUUUUUCUGUCUACUAGGGAGCGCAGCUAGCAUCGCUUUCUUUUUAUCGGUGAUAUAACUUCUGCUCACCCUGAUAAUUUAUUCCCUUCAUUUUUUUCGGUGAGCGCAAAAGAAAACGCCGUUCGUUGAUGACCCGCCAAAAAAAAGAAGAAUCGUAAAAAGAAAAGCCAAUUAUACUGUACAACAUUGGUCAUCAAUCAUCAGAAAAUGCGAUCAAACGACCCGACGACGUUGUGGAAGGCAGCUCCUCCUCCAGCUGCCGGUUGAUCCGCUGGAGCGUUGGUCCAUCACGCGCACACGCAACCAACCAAAGCCAUCCCGCGAUCGCAGCCGUCCGGCCCAAUCAACGCGCCAUUAUUCUAUUCCCGCGCCGCGAUUUGGCCUCCCCUGCUCCCCCAUAUGAACCCACCCCCCCCUCAAACCCAUGAGCAUCCAUCCACGCCACACCACACACAGCCCGCCGCGGGCUACCAUGCGCACACAGACGGCAAUGGCGACCACCCUCCUCUUCCUCGCGCUGCUCCUCGUCCCGCACCUCGCCGCGNNNNNNNNNNNNNNNNNNNNNNNNNNNNNNNAAUGCGAUCAAACGACCCGACGACGUUGUGGAAGGCAGCUCCUCCUCCAGCUGCCGGUUGAUCCGCUGGAGCGUUGGUCCAUCACGCGCACACGCAACCAACCAAAGCCAUCCCGCGAUCGCAGCCGUCCGGCCCAAUCAACGCGCCAUUAUUCUAUUCCCGCGCCGCGAUUUGGCCUCCCCUGCUCCCCCCUAUGAACCCACCCCCCCCUCAAACCCAUGAGCAUCCAUCCACGCCACACCACACACAGCCCGCCGCGGGCUACCAUGCGCACACAGACGGCAAUGGCGACCACCCUCCUCUUCCUCGCGCUGCUCCUCGUCCCGCACCUCGCCGCGGCUACGCCCGGCCACCAGCGCCGGCUGCUCCAGAGCCACGGCGCCGACGACGGCAGCGACGUCUUGGUCGACCCGUCCUACGCCUUCGCCAACCCGCGCCUCCGCGACGCCUACGUCGCGCUGCAGGCCUGGAAGCGCGCCAUCCUCUCCGACCCGCGCAACCUCACCGCCUCCUGGUCCGGCCCCGACGUCUGCUCCUACUACGGCGUCUUCUGCGCGCCGUCCCAGGCGGACCACUACCUCACCGUCGUCGCCGCCGUCGACCUCAACCACGCCGACCUCGCCGGCCACCUCCCGGAGGCGCUCGGCAGGCUCGCCGACCUCUCCGUCUUCCACGUCAACUCCAACCGCUUCUGCGGCCUCGUGCCGGCCUCCUUCCACGCCAUGCACCUCCUCCACGAGCUCGACCUCAGCAACAACCGCCUCGUCGGCGCCUUCCCCGACGUCGUGCUCCGCCUGCCCAGCCUCAGGUACCUCGACCUCCGCUACAACGAGUUCGAGGGCCCCGUGCCCAAAGAGCUCUUCGACCUCCCGCUCGACGCCAUCUUCAUCAACUCCAACCGCUUCCGCUUCCAGAUCCCCGACAACGUCGGCAACUCGCCGGCGUCUGUCCUCGUGCUCGCCAACAACGACUUCGGCGGCUGCCUCCCGGCCUCCGUCGCCAACAUGUCCGGCACGCUCAACGAGAUCAUACUCAUGAACACCGGGCUCAAGUCCUGCGUCCCCCCGGAGCUCGGCAUGCUCACCGCCCUCACCGUGCUCGACGUCAGCCACAACCAGCUCAUGGGCGCCAUCCCCGCCGAGCUCGCCAACCUCCACAGCAUCGAGCAGCUCGACCUUGGUCACAACCGCCUCAGUGGCGACGUGCCGGAGGGCAUCUGCCACCUGCCGCAUCUCCAGAACUUCACCUACUCCUACAACUACAUCACCGGCGAGCCGCCGGUGUGCAUGCACGUCAAGGCAUUGGACGAUCGCCGGAACUGCAUCCCGAACCGUCCUGACCAGAGGUCAACCGAACAGUGCCAAUUCUUCAACAGCAACCAUGUCAAGUGCGACGCCUUUAGGUGCAAGAAGUUCGUGUUGCCGUCACCGCCACCUCCUCCGCCUUCACCACCGCCACCAACCCCAUCUCCUCCGCCACCUUCACCUUCACCACCGCCGCCGUCGCCUCCUCCACCAACCCCGUCUCCUCCGCCACCUUCACCACCGCCGCCGUCGCCUCCUCCACCAACCGCGUCUCCUCCACCACCUUCACCUCCACCCCCGUCCCCAUCACCCCCACCUCCGUACUACGAGGUCUCACCUGAGGAACGGUACCUUUCGCCGCCACCUCCAGCGUACCAAGAGCCGACAACGCCUCCCCGUUACGACGUGCCAGCUCCCUACUACGAGGUGUCACCGGAGGACCGGUACCACUCACCGCCACCCCAAGCUUACCAAGAGUCUCCACCUCCGCCCUACUACGAGGUGUCACCGGAGGACCGGUACCUGUCGCCG